UACGUAGGCAGCAAGCGUUGUUCGGAAUUACUGGGCGUAAAGAGUGUGUAGGCGGUGUUCUAAGUUUGGUGUGAAAUCUCCCGGCUCAACUGGGAGGGUGCGCCGAAAACUGGAAUGCUAGAGUAUGGGAGAGGUAAGCGGAAUUCCUGGUGUAGCGGUGAAAUGCGUAGAUAUCAGGAGGAACACCUGUGGCGAAAGCGGCGCACUGGACCACAACUGACGCUGAGGCGCGAAAGCUAGGGGAGCAAACAGG
rnacentral:rRNA from 1 species